ACCAUUUUGAUUUCUUGCUAUCACCUCCUUCAUACUUUUUCCACUUUCUUCUUUACCUUGCAUACUAGCCAUAAUAUUCAAUAAAUACAACAAUAUCGAGAGUGCUCUUUCAUAUUGAUUGCCAGCGCAAUUCUCUUAUGUUCUCCUCCCCGCCCCGCCCCGGAGCCCCCUCUGAUCAAAGACCAGAUCAUCUUGAAUGCUUCGAGCUCCAAGGACAUUAAGUGGUAAAUGCUUGUUGGAUCUUGAUCAAUCAUCUUGUCAUGUGCAUUACAGGGAAAUGGGAAAAACGCGGAAAGUUCUUUCAGUUCCAGCAAUAAUUUCUUGGCAGCCAUCAAGAGAGCUACAUUUAAAUGAUUUGUGAUCCUAGGGAAAGUGGCAGGGAAUUGAAUCAUGAAACAGAAACCAGGAUUGAACUAGCACAUAUAUAACAGAGAAAGGGAAAUGAACCUGCAGCUAUUCCCCCAGAACUUUCAUCGGGGAGCACGUUUCUGAUAUAAAUAAAGCCUCUUACAUACACAACUCAACACCAUCCCAGAAAUACGAUCGAGGACACCCUCUAUUGCCAUCUUAACCUAGGAUCCUGUGAAUUUCUUAACCUAAGAAAAUGAUAUGAUCAUGGAUCGUUCUUUAGGUUUCCACAUAAUUUAUCUCCAAAUAAAUCAAUGAUCCUUCUCUAUGUCUCCA